UUUAACUUUAUUAACUUAAAUUAACAUAGUUAUAUCCAAUAUUGUAUCAAGCAAAAGGUACUUUUGUAUAUAAUCCAAUCUAAUUUAAAUCUAAAAGUUAAUCCAUCUAAAUGCAGCCUUAAUGAUACAAUAAUGAUGCACAUUUAAACUACUACUUUACAAACUUCCUUGCGUAGUAUGGGUGUGACACAUGGCGUUAAAUGGGAAAAAAGUUCCAAAGCGUGAAGUAAAAGGCCCUUGUGUCUAUAAUCAAACCCCCAUAAUAACCAAAGCUUGUGACAAUUAUAAACAACAAUAAUUGUAAAGUAGCCUUUCGCUAAAUAAUUAAAUGAAACUUCAAUAGACACGCAUUUAGAAAGUGAACCAAGAUGAUAAUCCAAACCAUUAAUGUUUCAUACAAGGGUAUCCCAUUAACAUGAAUCCCGUGACCGCAUUGAAUGAACACAGAACAAUGAUAUGAUAUCUAGCCAGUACUGUACUCAUAAUUAAUGGACAACAUUAAUUGGUUUUCUCGACCUUCCGGGUCAUCACUCUGAGGCACUGAAUUCAAACUUAGGCUCCUUUAACAGUUACUUUAUUCAAGUGCCGGCAGAAAUAGAUGAAGGCGAUCCCAAAGUAAAUGCUAUGAAGUUGAAAGCUUCCCAUAUUUUCUCCGAGACUAGUGCAUAUGGUCUAAUUACUUUCCCUGUGACUAUACAAUUUGGUUCUCUUUUUACCUGGUUUGGCACCGGCAGGCGUUUGCUUUCGUAAAUUUUUAAAGAGAUUGGGAAAAGGUUUCUGGUAUUCACAUUGAAACGUUCCUGUUUGGUUAUAAAGAAUCCGUGAGUUAUAUUAAUGCAAGAAAAGUCUUUAAGUUUAAAAGCCACAAAUAACAAUCUCCAUCUCCAUGCUAAUAUGCCUACCCGCAGAUAGAUAGGGAAUUGUUGCCAUUUCAAAAUUUGGUACUUGCUGCAAGGACUGCUUGUACAUGUUCGUUCAAUGGAACUACAUGUAAGUUAUGGUUGGAGCUUUUUAAUUGUAAAUCAAAACAUGGUUUCUGUUUGAUGAAGAUAGGAAUUAGCAUGAGGAGCCUCGUGGUGAGUUUCAACAUACAAUAAAAUAAUCUAGGCAACAUUAAUCAAGAUCAAAACUAUAUACUGAUCUUUUUUUUUUUAAAGAGUAGGAAGAACAAGUACUAAAGAGUUGCAUAGUGGAAUUAAAUGCAAGCCAAAAUAAUAAUAAUAAUAAUAAUAAUAAUAAUAAUAAUAAUAAUAAUAAUAAUAAUAAUAGUAAUAAAAGCCGACUCCUAUUGAUUGGUAUUUUAAAAGAUUGAAGAUCGAAAGGAGUGUGGCAUGAGAUUUUAGAGGGUCAGAUAUUUUAUUUUAAUUUUUCAACAAUUUGGGUGACAAACCAAGGUUCUUGAGUAUUUGAUAAACACUUGCAAUUUUGUUUUGAUAGAUAAUCAUUUAUUAAAAAAUAAGUUUGGAAAAUAAUAAUAAAUAAUUUUUACUUAACAGUUAACAGUGUUAGCAUCGAUCCAUUUUCCUUGACAAUUAGAAGUAUUAUCCUAUGACAAUUGUGGCUUAAAAAUCAUGAUAAUAGAGCCCUAGAACAUUAAACGUCUACUUUUCAGGCGAAUAGCAACUUUAUUUGUGAUUCUAUUUAUUUAUUUAUUUUUAAAAUGUUAUAAUUUAAAUACAUACAAUGUGAAGUCAAGCGAAAGUCUAAAUAUAUAUAAUUUUUUGUGCGUAAUCCACAAGUCUACCAAACAUUAACUUGAAAAUCUGAGAUAUCUAUCCCUAUAAAAUCUCAAGGCCAGAUAAGGGCUUGAGCCCAACCCUCAAGAUAUGGAACCUUAUUGUUCAAUUACUUGCUCUAGAUCAUGUUGACCUUUCCUUUCUCUCUUUUAAGUACUUGGCAAUGCUAUUUUGACAUUUCCUCUGCAGAUUUUAUUUUACUGCUAUUAAAAGAAUUACAGCAUCAGUAGUAGAAUUAUUGUAAACCAUUUUAUACUAAAUGAAACAUAUGCAGCCUUGAUUUUUUUUUUUUUUUGUUUUAAAGAAUAGUUACCAGUUACCCAAGUUACACGUAAUUCCUUAAUCUUGAAUUUUUAUAUAUAAACAAAAAAAAUAUUUCUAAUCAUUAAUUCACUAUAGAAGAUAAAAAAAAAUAUCGAUUUUUUUUAAUGAGGGCAUAUAUAGUAAACGAAAUCAUUAUAAAAUUAUGCCAUAAGACUCUAAAUUAGAGCUUUUCUUUUUAAAAGAGACUUAAAAUUGGAUGCAUUUUAUAUGCAUUAUUUAGAUGUACCAUUUCAUUUUGUUGUUCACAAUACUAGUCUUGAAAUUGUAAAAUAUUAAUAUGCAAAAUUUUACACGAAUUAAACACCUUAAAAAUAUCUCAUCAAUUUAUAAUAAAUGGUUUGUGAAUUGAAUCACAAAGUUGUUAAUACUGCCCAUAAAUAAACAUUUUUUAAAAGUUAUUUUGAUGUAAUUUUAGACAUAGUAUAUGGUGAAUGAUAUAAUAAAAAAUAUUAAAAUAGGAAGAAAAUUAUAAAAUCACACACAAUGAAAAUUAGGGAAUUGUGUAAUGAUAACUAUGUUCAGAAAAAUACAUAAUCGUCCAUUUAAAAGAUCGAAAAAGAUUCGAAAUCAUUUUGAGAUUUGAGAAGAAUGUAAUAAUAAUGGAAAUAAAAUGAACAUAAAGAUGGCUUUAAUCUUUAUUAAUUAAUCAAAUUCUCAAAAUGCCAUAUCAAUUAUUUAUUCAUUAAUUUGAAAGAUUUCUUUCUAAAUAAUUCAUUGGUAGAAAUUGAGCAUUUGUGCUUAUCAAAAAAUUUAAUGAGUUUAUAUUUUUCAUCACUUGUAAUAUAAAACAUUAUCUAUGAAGAUUAUUUUGUUUAUUUUUCACUAAACAUGUAAAUUAUUUUGUUACAAAAUUUAUAUCAAUCAAGAAAUGUAAUUAAAUUGAAGUGAUAUAAGAUAAAAAUACAAUUGGUUUGUGAGCAAUGAAAUUUAUUUAUG
rnacentral:lncRNA from 1 species